AGGGUUUGAUCCUGGCUCAGAACGAACGCUGGCGGCGUGGCUAAAACAUGCAAGUCGCACGAGAAACCCCGGGCAACUGGGGCGGUACAGUGGCGAAAGGGCGAGGAACACAUGGGUAACGUACCUGGAGCACAGGGAUAGCCUAGGGAAACUUAGGAUAAUACCUGAUGAGACCACGGUCCCGCAGGGGACAGCGGUCAAUGGGCGGGGAUCCCUUUGGGACCUGUCGGCUCCUGAGCGGCCCAUGUCCUAUCAGCUAGUUGGCGGGGUAACGGCCCACCAAGGCUUCGACGGGUACCGGGACUGAGAGGUUGGCCCGGCGCAUUGGCACUGAGACACUGGCCAGACUCCUACGGGAGGCUGCAGUAACGAAUCAUGGGCAAUGGGCGAAAGCCUGACCCUGCGACGCCGCGUGCGGGAUGAAGCUCUUCGGAGUGUAAACCGCUGUCAGGGGUUACCAAGCGAGGGGAGGCAAUACCUUCCCGAGUUGAGGCGCCCCAGAGGAAGCCACGGCUAACUUCGUGCCAGCAGCCGCGGUAAGACGAAGGUGGCGAGCGUUGUUCGGAAUCACUGGGCUUAAAGAGCACGUAGGCGGGCCGUCUUGCGUCCUGUGAAAUCCCCCGGCUCAACCGGGGAAUGGCAGGGCGAACGGGCGGCCUUGAGGCAGGUAGAGGUGUGGGGAACUCUUGGUGGAGCGGUGGAAUGCGUAGAUAUCAAGAGGAACGCCGGAGACGAAGGUGCCGCACUGGGCCUGUCCUGACGCUGAGGUGCGAAAGCCAGGGGAGCAAACGGGAUUAGAUACCCCGGUAGUCCUGGCCCUAAACGAUGUCCACUAGGUCGGUGGUUCUCUGACGGAUCACUGGCCGAAACAAAAGCGAUAAGUGGACCGCCUGGGGAGUACGGUCGCAAGGCUAAAACUCAAAGGAAUUGACGGGGGCUCACACAAGCGGUGGAGCAUGUUGCUCAAUUCGAUACUACGCGAAGAACCUUAUCCUGGGCUUGACAUGUAGGAGCCUCUCCCUGGAAACAGGAUAGAGUUUCCCUUCGGGGUGUAAGCCUACACAGGUGCUGCAUGGCUGUCGUCAGCUCGUGUCGUGAGAUGUCGGGUUAAGUCCCAUAACGAGCGAAACCCUUGUCGCUAGUUGCCAGCGGGUCAUGCCGGGGACUCUAGCGAGACUGCCGGUGUCAAACCGGAGGAAGGCGGGGAUGACGUCAAGUCCUCAUGGCCUUUAUGCCCAGGGCUGCAAACGUGCUACAAUGGUCGCUACAAACCGAUGCAAGACCGCGAGGUGGAGCAAAUCGGAAAAAAGCGGCCCCAGUUCAGAUCGGAGUCUGCAACUCGACUCCGUGAAGUUGGAAUCGCUAGUAAUCGCGGAUCAGCUACGCCGCGGUGAAUGUGUUCCUGAGCCUUGUACACACCGCCCGUCAAGUCAUGGGAGCCGGUAACACCCGGAGUCGGCCCGAUUCAGGGCUGCCGAAGGUGAGAUCGGUGACUGGGACUAAGUCGAAACAAGGUA
rnacentral:rRNA from 1 species